rnacentral:rRNA from 1 species
UACGGAGGGGGCUAGCGUUGUUCGGAAUCAUUGGGCGUAAAGCGCGUGUAGGCGGUCUGGUCAGUCGGGUGUGAAAUACCGGAGCUCAACUCCGGAACUGCAUUCGAUACUGCCAGGCUAGAGUCCCGGAGAGGGUGGUGGAAUUCCCGGUGUAGAGGUGAAAUUCGUAGAUAUCGGGAGGAACACCAGCGGCGAAGGCGGCCACCUGGACGGUGACUGACGCUGAGGCGCGAAAGCGUGGGGAGCAAACAGG